rnacentral:rRNA from 1 species
GAUGAACGCUGGCGGCGUGCUUAACACAUGCAAGUCGAACGGAACUACUCCAAUGAGAGUCUUCGGAAAGGAUUUGGUUUAGUUUAGUGGCGGACGGGUGAGUAACGCGUGGGUAACCUGCCCUAUACAGGGGGAUAACAGUUGGAAACGACUGUUAAUACCGCAUAAGCGCACAGGAGCGCAUGCUCCGGUGUGAAAAACUCCGGUGGUAUAGGAUGGACCCGCGUCUGAUUAGCUGGUUGGCGGGGUAACGGCCCACCAAGGCGACGAUCAGUAGCCGGCCUGAGAGGGUGAACGGCCACAUUGGGACUGAGACACGGCCCAAACUCCUACGGGAGGCAGCGGUGGGGAAUAUUGCACAAUGGGGGAAACCCUGAUGCAGCGACGCCGCGUGAGCGAAGAAGUAUCUCGGUAUGUAAAGCUCUAUCAGCAGGGAAGAAAAUGACGGUACCUGACUAAGAAGCCCCGGCUAACUACGUG